AUUGAACGCUGGCGGCAGGCCUAACACAUGCAAGUCGAGCGGGGUUUUCGGACCUAGCGGCGGACGGGUGAGUAAUGCGUAGGAAGCUACCCGAUAGAGGGGGAUACCAGUUGGAAACGACUGUUAAUACCGCAUAAUGUCUAUGGACCAAAGUGUGGGACCUUCGGGCCACAUGCUAUCGGAUGCGCCUACGUGGGAUUAGCUAGUUGGUGAGGUAAUGGCUCACCAAGGCGACGAUCUCUAGCUGGUUUGAGAGGAUGAUCAGCCACACUGGAACUGAGACACGGUCCAGACUCCUACGGGAGGCAGCAGUGGGGAAUAUUGGACAAUGGGCGCAAGCCUGAUCCAGCCAUGCCGCGUGUGUGAAGAAGGCCUUAGGGUUGUAAAGCACUUUCAAUUGGAAGGAAAAAACCAGGGUCAAUACCCCUGGUCUUGACAUUACCUUUAGAAGAAGCACCGGCUAACUCCGUGCCAGCAGCCGCGGU
rnacentral:rRNA from 1 species